AGAUUGAACUGAAGAGUUUGAUCCUGGCUCAGAUUGAACGCUGGCGGCAUGCCUUACACAUGCAAGUCGAACGGCAGCGCGGGCUUCGGCCUGGCGGCGAGUGGCGAACGGGUGAGUAAUACAUCGGAACGUGCCCUGUCGUGGGGGAUAACUAGUCGAAAGAUUAGCUAAUACCGCAUACGACCUGAGGGUGAAAGCGGGGGACCGUAAGGCCUCGCGCGAUAGGAGCGGCCGAUGUCUGAUUAGCUAGUUGGUGGGGUAAAGGCCCACCAAGGCGACGAUCAGUAGCUGGUCUGAGAGGACGAUCAGCCACACUGGGACUGAGACACGGCCCAGACUCCUACGGGAGGCAGCAGUGGGGAAUUUUGGACAAUGGGGGCAACCCUGAUCCAG
rnacentral:rRNA from 1 species